UGAGGUUUCGGCCCUUUUGACCUUGUCUGUUUAGAAAUUUUCCAUCUGUCUGGUUAGAAGAUAUAAUAUUACUUCAUUUGACUCAUUUCUUAAAAUAAUGACCACAUCUAAAAUGUCUGGUUUUGACUCAUUUGUUAACAUAAGACCACCUCUAAAAUAAGGAAGCUAAAUCUGAGGUACCAUCUUAGCAGCAUUGGAAUUCUUCAUACUGUCACUUUUUUUUCCAUCUGUAAGAUUUUAAAAUAAAAAGAAACAAAAGCAUUAGUAAUGAAAAAUAAGAAAGACGAUCAAUAAAAUGAAUAAAGACAUUAAGCAAAGGCAAGUUUCUGUAAAUAAUUAGUGUCAACGUUUCUAUAAGAUUACACGUUUGUGUUGAGUUUAGACUACUUGGCCCACUUUAUCUUGUUUAUUUUACGUAUAUGCUAUAUGACCAGUUAAGCGAUAAAAUAUAUUUUCAUUUGACUUGCUUCUUAACUGAACAGGUGAAGUUACCACCUCUAAAAUAAAUGAAGUAGAGUAGCAAUUACCAGAGAUACCGUCCUAUGAGUAUUGUAGUUCAUGUUGUCACUUUUUUCCAUUGUUCAUUAACCUCAAGACUCGUUCUGAACACCUUGUAAUGU
rnacentral:lncRNA from 1 species